GUCCUUUAGAUAAUUAUAAUUUAAGGUCUAACCUGCCCAUUGAUAAGUUAAAAGGCCGCAGUAAUUUGACUGUGCAAAGGUAGCAUAAUCAUUAGUUUUUUAAUUAAAAGCUUGUAUGAAUGGUUGGACGAGAUAAAAGCUGUCUCUUUAUAAAAAAUAGAAUUUAAUUUUUAAGUUAAAAAGCUUAAAUUUAUAUAAAAGACGAGAAGACCCUAUAGAUCUUUAUAUAAUUUUUUUUAAUAUUAAUAAAGAAAUUUUAAUUUAUUAAAUAAUUUUAUAUUUUAUUGGGGUAAUAAAAAGAUUAAUUUAAUUCUUUUUAAUUUAACAAUAAUUAUUGAUUAUAUGAUCCAUUAUUAAUGAUUAUAAGAUUAAGUUACCUUAGGGAUAACAGCGUAAUUUUUUUAAAGAGUUCUUAUCAAUAAAAAAGUUUGCGACCUCGAUGUUGGAUUAAAAGUAAUUCUAGGUGCAGAAGUUUAGAGUUUUGGUCUGUUCGACCAUUAAAUUUUU
rnacentral:rRNA from 1 species